UGUUGUAAUAUUUAAUGACUUCGAUCCAUCAUUGUUUGUUAAAAAUUAGUUUUUUUUUUCUGUACUCUUGAAAAAUAGAUGAUGCAUUGAAAUCUGGAUUUAUCGGACAUUGCAUAAAAGAUAUAAAUUACUGAAAAAUAUCGCAUUUGCUUACAGAUUUACAAAGGAAUCGAAAUAUGAAUUGCUACAUCUUUUUAGUCGGCUUGGUGUUAUGUUCCUGCUUUCUUUUUCUCCAAGUAGCAGCUAUGGAAGCAGAAAUUCGUGGAGCAAGAGUUACUCGACAAUCCAAUAAUGGAAAAUUACUCAAUGUCGACCUCUGUAUAGAUUUACGCGUCUCUCUGUCAGCGUUGUUAGAGUUACUGAAAUUGUCCAGCUAGAAUAAGAAAUUAACUUCAACAAUUCCUUCUAGACACUUGAAAUAAAAAAAAAUUAUUCAUUUU